rnacentral:rRNA from 1 species
AGUGAACGCUGGCGGUAGGCCUAACACAUGCAAGUCGAACGGCCGCACAGUAAGAGCUUGCUCUUACGGGUGGCGAGUGGCGGACGGGUGAGGAAUACAUCGGCAUCUACUUUUUCGUGGGGGAUAACGUAGGGAAACUUACGCUAAUACCGCAUACGACCUACGGGUGAAAGCAGGGGAUCUUCGGACCUUGCGCGAUUGAAUGAGCCGAUGUCGGAUUAGCUAGUUGGCGGGGUAAAGGCCCACCAAGGCGACGAUCCGUAGCUGGUCUGAGAGGAUGAUCAGCCACACUGGAACUGAGACACGGUCCAGACUCCUACGGGAGGCAGCAGUGGGGAAUAUUGGACAAUGGGCGCAAGCCUGAUCCAGCCAUACCGCGUGGGUGAAGAAGGCCUUCGGGUUGUAAAGCCCUUUUGUUGGGAAAGAAAAGCAGCAGGUUAAUACCCCGCUGUUCUGACGGUACCCAAAGAAUAAGCACCGGCUAACUUCGUG